rnacentral:tRNA from 1 species
CCGACCUUAGCUCAGUUGGUAGAGCGGAGGACUGUAGUGGUUAGUGCCUCAGAUAUCCUUAGGUCGCUGGUUCGAAUCCGGCAGGUCGGA